rnacentral:lncRNA from 1 species
AAUAGAUCAUAGCAAAGAUAUAAUUAAUAUAAAAGCUAUUCAACAAUAUAACUAUGACAGUUAUAUGUUAACGCCGUGUAACUCUGACAUAUGGUGGAUUUACUCGUUUAGUGAUAUAAUACACAUAGAAAAAAUUGGACUCGUGUCACUAGAACAUUAUGCAUCGAAUUUUAAAGUGAUUGAGAUAUUAGGUAGUGAUGUAUAUCCAACUAAUAAAUGGAAAAAGUUAGGUAAAAUAUCAACUAAUUUUACAAAAAGUUUCGAACUGUUUAAUAUUUAUGAUUAUUGUAAAAAUUAUGAUGAACAUAGUUGUUGGGUCAAAUAUUUAAAACUUGUUGUAUUAUCACAUCACAAUAUAGAAAAAAAUUAUUAUUGCACGUUAACACACUUACAAAUAUUUGGAUCGUCAGGUGUUGAUAUGUUAAGUGAUAAAAUAUAUUCAGAUGAUAACAUUUUACAAACAGAAGAAGAGGCAGAAGCAGAAGCAGAAGCAGAAGCAGAAGCAGAAGUAGAAGUAGAAGUAGAAGUAGAAGAACAAAAAAAAAAAGAAGCAACAGAAAAAGAACAUGAGUUGCAACAUACUUAUAUAGAUGAUAAAAAUGAAAAAACUAAAGAUCAAGAUAAAUUAGAAAAUAUAGAUAUACUGUUUGAAGAUAAUGAGUUUAAACCAGAUCAUGUAGAUUUGGACCAUGUAGAUUUGGAUCAUGUAGAUUUGGAUCAUGUAGAUUUGGAUCAUGUAGAUUUGAAUCAGGUAAAGUUAGACCAUGAGGAGUUAGAACAGGUACAACCAAACGAGAUAAAGUUAGACCAUAUAGAAUCAGAUACAACUAAUAUGGCAAAUAGCGAUGCUCUUAAUGAUGUAGCUACAAUUAAAGCAGACAAUAAUAGUACAAAAGAGCCCACAAUAAAUGCAACUAACACACAAGUGGAUAACACAAUGAACGUAAAUGACUCAAAUAGCACACCUACUUUAAUCAACGGAAAGAACAACAACAAAGGUGCGCAAAAAUACAACGAAAUAAACAACAUUGAAAAAAAAAUAUUAGAAAAUGAAUUAAACCGAGCUAACUUAAUAGAUACCGACCUCAUUAAAGAGCAAUUAAUGAAUACAGAGUUAAUAGAAGAAGAUAUUAUGAACAUAGAUUGGUUUGAUAAAGAAUUUAAACAAAAUAAUAUAUAUGAAGAUAAUAUAUUGGAUUUUUUGAGUGAACAGUAUAGCAAUAGCACUGAUCCGUCCACUACUACUAUCACUAAUAACACGUUAAAUUUGUUAGAACCUACUCAGAAAAAAGAAGAAGGAGAAGGAGGAGGAGAAGAAGAAGAAGAAGAGAA